GCAUCCGUAGCUCAGCUGGAUAGAGUACUUCCGGCUACGAACCGAGCGGUCGGAGUAACGAACUUCCCGGAUGCACCA
rnacentral:tRNA from 1 species